rnacentral:rRNA from 1 species
GACGAACGCUGGCGGCGUGCUUAACACAUGCAAGUCGAACGGUGAAGCGCCUUCCGCUUUGGUGGGCGUGGGUGGGCGGGGAACGGGUGAGUAACACGUUAGUAACCUGCCCCCUACUUCUGGCUAACCGCGUGACAGUGAGGCUAAUACGGGAUAUUCUGGGUCUGGCGCAUGAUGGGUCUGGGCAAGAUAUUGUGUCGGUGGGGGAUGGGCUCGCGGCCUAUCAGCUUGUUGGUGGGGUGGUGGCCUACCGAGGCGGUGACGGGUAGCCGGCCUGAGAGGGUGGGCGGUCACACUGGGACUGAGACACCGCGCAGCCUCCGACGGGAGGCAGCAGGGAGGAUUAUUGCACAGUGGGCGGAAGCAUGCUGCCGCGCCGCCGCGUGGGGGAUGGACGCCUUCUGGUUGUGAACCUCUUGCGCCAGUGAAGCAGGCCUGCCUCGUUUGUGGGUGGGUUGACGGUAGCUGGAUAAGAAGCGCCGGCUAACUACGUG